GUUUGCCUGGUCUGGUUUUACUCUCUUUCAGAGCUUCCUCCCCUCCCCCCGUCGCUGAGGCUGAGUGAGACUACACACCUGCGCUACAUCUACAAUCAAAGCACUUUAAGAAGCCUGCAGCCCUCAGUCUCAGCGCCUGAGUAUUGUCUUCACUUCCAAGUGGUACAAGACGCAUCUCCUGGCCUUCCUCUGUGUAUGAGUAUCAGUACUUUGCUCCUUGUGAUUCAUUGCAUGUUCGCUUACUUCCUUCUCCUCUGGUUUUUUCUGCAGUGUCUCCAGCCCACACGACAGCCAGCCAGCCAGCCAACCAGCCUACCAGACUUCCUCUUUUUGCAUUUAAAACCU